GCAGCGGCGCUGAGGUGCUGUAAGGAAGCAGACGGGUUCCCUUGGAGUUUGUACUUACUGUGAAUCACCUGACCUGUUUCCGAUAUGAUGGCUGGUGUCUGAAUGCGUCUCAAAGAGAAAAGCUCCAUUUGACCGAUGAUGAUAGCGGUGGUGAUGAUGAAGGUGGUAAUGAGAAGGGCUUACACAGCACAUGAAUAUUUGAAGGAGUUGGGUGGUGACAGUGGGGGAGACACGAUUGCUCACAACGAUCCUAUUGGUUUAUUGGUGACGUGAUGCCGCGGAGGAGUUGCGCUAAACACUUUAUAAAGCUUCUCUUUCCGCGGCGAGCCAGUCUAUUACAGACCUCUGCUGCCUCAACUCGUGCUGAGAAACCUCCACAUCUUCGUCCAUCAUGAGCGAGAGACAAGGACCAGGAGCUGCCUCUGCCACCAACAAGACAUCUGGGGAACAUGGUGAAAAACAGGAUUUCAUUAUGGAAUUCCGCUCUGAGAAAUUAACCUUUGAGACGCAUACACACACACACGCACACACACACACACACACACACACACACACACACACUCACUCACACAUCCUUGUACGUCUGUAUUUAUGAGGACUUUCAUAGACAUAAGGCAUUCCACACCUCCUAACUCUAACCAUUACAGCUAACCCAUAACCUUAACCCUCACCCCUGACCUAAAACCGUUUCUAACUUCAACCUAAAAACCAUGUCUUAACCGUCAAACAGUCCUUUGAUGUUGAGGGGACCAGCCAAAAUGUCCUCACUUUGCUAGUAGAAUGAUGAUUUUGCUACUCAAUAUAUAGCAAGUACAAGAAGACAUGCACACAUUUCCAUCCUUUGAUGUGUGCAAUACCCAACCACCCUGCAGAGGCCUGUGUGUAAGUGGUCUCCUGUAAUGCUCACUGUGUGGGCUGGAGGGAGGGGGUGAAAUGAAGGAGUUUUAUAAUCAAUCAAUCAAUCAAUCAAUCAAACAAACUUUAUUUAUAUAGCAUCUGUUACAAUCAAAAUAGUUUCUAGGCGCUUUACAGAAUCCCAGGGCCUGACCCCCAACAAGCAACAGUGGCAAGGAAAAACUCCCCUUUAUCAGGGAGAAACCUUGAGCAGGACCAGGCUUAUAUAAGGGGACCCUCCUGCUGACGGCUGGCUGGGUAGAGAAAUAGGAGAAGGGGGAGGAGGACAGGUAGAGAAGAGAAUAGGUAGAGAACAUAGAAAUGAAUCCAGAGGUUAUACACUUCCUCUGAUCAGUGGAAUCUGAGAGAACUACGCGCUCACGAUGAUCCUGCAUCUGAACAGAGACGGACUGCCUUUAUCAGUUUGUCCUGGGGGAAAUUAAGCUUGGCUCCACAUACUGAGUGUCUUACAAAUCAUUUUUAGUGUUGAGCUGGGCGUCAUUAAAUCUGUCACAGUAAAACAAAUAAAGGCUUCAACCAGAAAACGAAUAUCUUCCCAGCUUUCACCAGCACUAAAUCGACACCAGCUCACAGGAACGAGCCGCUCGGUCCGACACACACAUACAGGCAGGAUGGCUGACUCCUGAGGAAGCUGAGGAGUGUUUGUGCACAGGUAGAUUAUUACAAUCAACAAGCAGCUCCAGGGCCUCAAUAGGUGGGAAACACCUGCUGACAUAACUAAUGACGUCUGAUACUUUAAUUUACUCUAGGAUGAAACCUCUGGUAAUGGGCUGAUACUAUUAUGAUACCAUUAUGAAAUCACUCUGAAAUAUCCCCAAUUUCAUUUGUGUCCCAUUCCAACAUUUUAUUUUUGCAUAUGAACAGAAACAUCAAAUAAAACAUCAUGGUGCUGCAGCAGACUCAUGUUAGUCUGCCUGGAGACUGCAGAUUUACCUUUCUGCUGAUUCUCUGACCUUGCUGUCUGACCUUGACAAUUAAUUUGAUGCCUUGAUAAAAAGUAAGAUGCUUCUUUGGUUGGAAUAGGAGCUGCUUUAUCCUUGGCUCUGAGCAGAGGCUUUAUGCAGAGAACCCUUUUUAGGGUCAUUCCCUCCUGUUCUUCCUCAGCCACAGCUGCAGCAUCACAGGCUGCUUUUGAUAAGAACAUCAAACAGAAGGAACAAUAACAACAAUGACUCCUUCAUUUCUGAUCUGUUGCAGAUCAGAAAUAAAAUAUUUCUUUUGAUUUUUCCUGGAUGCAGCGUUGCACCUUACAUGUUGCUUUUCUAAAAAGACUUUUGGAAAAAUACACCAUUAUGUCAACUGUUCAAUCGAGGGAUGGUUGCAGAGUUUUUGGACUAUCUGAU
ensembl:lncRNA